ACAAUGGAGAGUUUGAUCCUGGCUCAGGAUGAACGCUAGCGGCAGGCCUAAUACAUGCAAGUCGAGGGGCAGCACAGGUAGCAAUACUGGGUGGCGACCGGCAAACGGGUGCGGAACACGUACGCAACCUUCCUUUAAGCGGGGAAUAGCCCAGAGAAAUUUGGAUUAAUACCCCAUAAGAAUGUGGAAAGGCAUCUUUCAGCAUUUAAAGAUUUAUCACUUAAAGAUGGGCGUGCGUCUGAUUAGGUAGUUGGUGAGGUAACGGCUCACCAAGCCGACGAUCAGUAACUGGCGU
rnacentral:rRNA from 1 species